CAUCUCCAAAGUGGGGAAGUUCCAUUUGCCAUGAAUAGGAAUGGAUUCGGUCAGGAUGACAUCCAGACGCUUCACCUGCUCCCAGUUCAGCACGCUCAAGUUACUCAGAUUCUCUUCCAUGGCGACAGUGAAUGUCAAUGCUGCCCUCUAGAGAAAGUCAUCAGAUCUUAAACUUGAGAUGCACCUUUAUACAAGCUAGAUGUCACCCAGAAUCUAUCAGGGGGAGCGGACCUGCGUCACAGCGGUAACAGCCAAUAAAGCAGGAUUAUUCUAGAUUACCCCCUACACCAUGACUCUCUUGGGCGGCGGGCGCACUUCUGUGUGUGU